rnacentral:rRNA from 1 species
ACCGGCGAUACCCGAAUGGGGAAACCCAGUGUGAUUCGUCACACUAUCAUUAACUGAAUCCAUAGGUUAAUGAGGCGAACCGGGGGAACUGAAACAUCUAAGUACCCCGAGGAAAAGAAAUCAACCGAGAUUCCCCCAGUAGCGGCGAGCGAACGGGGAGGAGCCCAGAGCCUGAAUCAGCAUGUGUGUUAGUGGAAGCGUCUGGAAAGGCGCGCGAUACAGGGUGACAGCCCCGUACACAAAAGCGCAUGUGCUGUGAGCUCGAUGAGUAGGGCGGGACACGUGGUAUCCUGUCUGAAUAUGGGGGGACCAUCCUCCAAGGCUAAAUACUCCUGACUGACCGAUAGUGAACCAGUACCGUGAGGGAAAGGCGAAAAGAACCCCGGCGAGGGGAGUGAAAAAGAACCUGAAACCGUGUACGUACAAGCAGUGGGAGCACCCUUUGGGUGUGACUGCGUACCUUUUGUAUAAUGGGUCAGCGACUUAUAUUCUGUAGCAAGGUUAACCGAAUAGGGGAGCCGGAGGGAAACCGAGUCUUAACCGGGCGUUAAGUUGCAGGGUAUAGACCCGAAACCCGGUGAUCUAGCCAUGGGCAGGUUGAAGGUUGGGUAACACUAACUGGAGGACCGAACCGACUAAUGUUGAAAAAUUAGCGGAUGACCUGUGGCUGGGGGUGAAAGGCCAAUCAAACCGGGAGAUAGCUGGUUCUCCCCGAAAGCUAUUUAGGUAGCGCCUCGUGAAUUCAUCUCCGGGGGUAGAGCACUGUUUCGGCUAGGGGGCCAUCCCGGCUUACCAACCCGAUGCAAACUGCGAAUACCGGAGAAUGUUAUCACGGGAGACACACGGCGGGUGCUAACGUCCGUCGUGAAGAGGGAAACAACCCAGACCGCCAGCUAAGGUCCCAAAGUCAUGGUUAAGUGGGAAACGAUGUGGGAAGGCCCAGACAGCCAGGAUGUUGGCUUAGAAGCAGCCAUCAUUUAAAGAAAGCGUAAUAGCUCACUGGUCGAGUCGGCCUGCGCGGAAGAUGUAACGGGGCUAAACCAUGCACCGAAGCUGCGGCAGCGACACUGUGUGUUGUUGGGUAGGGGAGCGUUCUGUAAGCCUGUGAAGGUGUGUCGUGAGGCAUGCUGGAGGUAUCAGAAGUGCGAAUGCUGACAUA